rnacentral:rRNA from 1 species
GACGAACGCUGGCGGCGUGCUUAACACAUGCAAGUCGAGCGGAGCGGCGGACGGGUGAGUAAUGCCUAGGAAUCUGCCUGGUAGUGGGGGAUAACGUCCGGAAACGGGCGCUAAUACCGCAUACUAUCAGAUGAGCCUAGGUCGGAUGAGGUAGUUGGUGGGGUAAAGGCCUACCAAGGCGACGAUCCGUAACUGGUCUGAGAGGAUGAUCAGUCACACUGGAACUGAGACACGGUCCAGACUCCUAAGGGAGGCAGCAGUGGGGAAUAUUGGACAAUUGGCGAAAGCCUGAUCCAGCCAUGCCGCGUGUGUGAAGAAGGUCUUCGGAUUGUAAAGCACUUUAAGUUGGGAGGCGUUACCAACAGAAUAAGCACCGGCUAACUUCGUGCCAGCAGCCGCGGUAAUAC